GGGAGGCAGCAGUAGGGAAUGUUGCGCAAUGGGGGAAACCCUGACGCAGCAACGCCGCGUGAAGGAUGAAGGUUUUCGGAUCGUAAACUUCUUUGAUGAGGGAAGAACAAUGACGGUACCUCAAAAACAAGCCACGGCUAACUACGUGCCAGCAGCCGCGGUAAUACGUAGGUGGCGAGCGUUAUCCGGAUUUACUGGGUGUAAAGGGCGUGUAGGCGGGAAUGUAAGUCAGAUGUGAAACUCCGGGGCUCAACUUCGGAACUGCAUCUGAAACUAUGUUUCUUGAGUGCUGGAGGGGAAAGCGGAAUUCCUAGUGUAGCGGUGAAAUGCGUAGAUAUUAGGAGGAACACCAGUGGCGAAGGCGGCUUUCUGGACAGUAGCUGACGCUGAGGCGCGAAAGCGUGGGGAGCAAACAGGCUUAGAUACCCUGGUAGA
rnacentral:rRNA from 1 species